GGCUCGAUGGCGGAUGGUCCGCACCUGCAAUCUGUUCCAAGGCCUUUGAAGAUGGUAGGCAGGUAACGCCCGUUCGACUCGGGCUCGAGCCA